rnacentral:rRNA from 1 species
GACGAACGCUGGCGGCGUGCUUAACACAUGCAAGUCGAACGGAAAGGCCCCUUUGGGGGUACUCGAGUGGCGAACGGGUGAGUAACACGUGAGUAACCUGCCCUUGACUUCGGGAUAACUUCAGGAAACUGGGGCUAAUACCGGAUAGGAAUCCUUUCUUCAUGGUUGGUGUUGGUAAGCUUCGGCGGUUUUGGAUGGACUCGCGGCUUAUCAUCUUGUUUGUGGGGUUGUGGCUUACCAAGGCUUUGACGGGUAGCCGGACUGAGAGGGCGACCGGCCACAUUGGGACUGAGAUACGGCCAAGACUCCUACGGGAGGAAGAAGUGGGGAAUAUUGAAAAAUGGGCGGAAGCCUGAUGAAGCAAAGCCGCGUGCGGGAUGACGGCCUUCGGGUUGUAAACCGAUUUCAGCAGGGGCGAAGCUUGUGGUGACGGUACCUGCAGAAGAAGCACCGGCUAACUACGUG